CCAUGAACAACGCAAAAAAAUCCAACAUUCUACCAAAAAGCGUUCCUACAAAGGCAACUCUCUCUAAACCGUUUUUUGCCCAUGAGGUAUGGAAAUCGUCUAUUAGAAUGGAGAGUAAUUGAAAGGAAAAACUACCUUUGUUUGGUUUUUUUUUCUUUUUUUCUCGUCGGUCUUGGGUGCAGUGUCAUUCUUUUCUCCGCGUUCCCUCUCUCUAUAUAGAGAAAAGAGCGCGGAGGUAGGCUCUGAGUGGGAUUGCAAUGAUUGGCGGGACAU
rnacentral:sRNA from 1 species